GUGUAGCUCAGUUGGUAGAGCGUCGAUCUAGUAAUUCGAAGGUCGCGGGUUCAAGACCUAUAUAUAUA